UACAGAGGGUGCGAGCGUUAUUCGGAAUUACUGGGCGUAAAGCGUGCGUAGACGGCUAUCUAAGUCGGGUGUGAAAGCCCCGGGCUCAACCUGGGAAUUGCAUUCGAGACUGAAUAGCUAGGGUACGGUAGAGGGAAGCGGAAUUUCCGGUGUAGCGGUGAAAUGCGUAGAUAUCGGAAGGAACAUCAGUGGCGAAAGCGGCUUCCUGGACCAGUACCGACGUUCAGGCACGAAAGCGUGGGGAGCAAACAGG
rnacentral:rRNA from 1 species